rnacentral:rRNA from 1 species
AGUGAACGCUGGCGAUAGGCCUAACACAUGCAAGUCGAACGGCAGCACAGUAAGAGCUUGCUCUUACGGGUGGCGAGUGGCGGACGGGUGAGGAAUACAUCGGAAUCUACUUUUUCGUGGGGGAUAACGUAGGGAAACUUACGCUAAUACCGCAUACGACCUACGGGUGAAAGCAGGGGAUCUUCUGACCUUGCGCGAUUGAAUGAGCCGAUGUCGGAUUAGCUAGUUGGCGGGGUAAAGGCCCACCAAGGCGACGAUCCGUAGCUGGUCUGAGAGGAUGAUCAGACACACUGGAACUGAGAAACGGUCCAGACUCCUACGGGAGGCAGCAGUGGGGAAUAUUGGACAAUGGGCGCGAGCCUGAUCCAGCCAUACCGCGUGGGUGAAGAAGGCCUUAGGGUUGUAAAGCCCUUUUGUUGGGAAAGAAAAGCAGCAGGUUAAUACCCCGCUGUUCUGACGGUACCCAAAGAAUAAGCACCGGCUAACUUCGUG